rnacentral:rRNA from 1 species
UACGAGGGGGGCAAAUGUUGUUCGGAAUCACUGGGCGUAAAGGGAGCGUAGGCGGGUUCUUAAGUAAGGUGUUUAAUCCCGGGGCCCAACCCCGGACCGGCACUUUAAACUGGGAAUCUUGAAUAGUGGAGAGGUCAGUGGAAUUGGGGGUGUAGCGGUGGAAUGCGUAGAGAUCCCCAAGAACACCAGUUGCGAAGGCGGCUGACUGGACACAUAUUGACGCUGAGGCUCGAAAGCAUGGGGAGCAAACAGG